UACGUAGGUGGCAAGCGUUGUCCGGAAUUAUUGGGCGUAAAGCGCGCGCAGGCGGUCCUUUAAGUCUGAUGUGAAAGCCCACGGCUCAACCGUGGAGGGUCAUUGGAAACUGGGGGACUUGAGUACAGAAGAGGAAAGCGGAAUUCCAAGUGUAGCGGUGAAAUGCGUAGAGAUUUGGAGGAACACCAGUGGCGAAGGCGGCUUUCUGGUCUGUAACUGACGCUGAGGCGCGAAAGCGUGGGGAGCAAACAAG
rnacentral:rRNA from 1 species